GUUGAAAAGUUGAAAACAUCCCGGGUCUAGGUUUUCUCUCUCGUCCACUCGCAGAUUCAAACAUUUGGGAGGCUGAGGCAUCUCUCUCUGUUUUCUAGAAUGGGAGCUGCGCAUGAAGUCUCCAUCUCACUUGAUGGAGUGAGGGACAAGAACCUUAUGCAGCUCAAAAAGCUCAAUCUCGCUCUUUUCCCUGUUCGUUACAAUGACAAAUACUAUACCAAUGCACUCGCUUCCGGUGAAUUCACCAAACUAGGUUAUGGACAAACAUUUAAAUAUUUUGGCAAAGCAACAUAUCGAGACUCGGUUUGUGAAACUCAACGCUGAGAAGAGUCCUUUUCUCGCUGAGAAGCUCAAGAUCAUUGUUCUUCCAACCCUUGUGGUGUGUCUCUAAACUUGGUCUCAAUGACGGCCUUGUGGUGUGUCUCUAUCUGUAAGAGUUUAUCAUGAUUCUAUAUCUAGUAGAUCUUCUUGAGAUCAUCCUUUUUUUACAGUAAUAUUUUUGAGUUAGCCCCCCCUUUCCCCCGAUUAUAGUAACUUCAUUCAUCUUUGUUAAUAA